CUGACUAUACUUUCAGGGAUCAUUUCUAUAGUUCAUCAUUAGAGAACUUCUCUGAACAUGUAGAGCACUAAGACAAGAAAUAACUAAGAUCAGA
ensembl:snoRNA U3 Small nucleolar RNA U3